rnacentral:rRNA from 1 species
UACGUAGGGUGCAAGCGUUGUCCGGAAUUAUUGGGCGUAAAGAGCUCGUAGGCGGUGCGUCACGUCGGCCGUGAAAACCUGGGGCUUAACUCUGGGCGUGCGGUCGAUACGGGCAUCACUAGAGUUCGGCAGGGGAGACUGGAAUUCCUGGUGUAGCGGUGAAAUGCGCAGAUAUCAGGAGGAACACCGGUGGCGAAGGCGGGUCUCUGGGCCGAUACUGACGCUGAGGAGCGAAAGCAUGGGUAGCGAACAGG